CCUGCCUUUAGAGGUACUGGUGUGGCUGCUGCAUCACACAUGUGCUCAAGGCAGCAGAGAGGAGAGUAGCCGUGUCUUCGCUCAGUGUUCUGACCUGUGAACAUCUUAAUGAUGUGUAGCCUAAUACU